CCCACCUACCCCUCCAUCCUGUUAAGGAGGCACAGUCCUAAGGAGGAGGGGUAGGAUCCCCUCCCUCAGCCACCGACACUCACACAUACUCUCUCAUACACACACUCUGCUCUGUGAGGAAGCAGUCGCUGGAGAGCUGUGGAUAGACCAUGCAAGGUUCUGCAGGUGUCCCACCCUUCUCUCACCACAUGGAUGCAUUAAAAAGUGCAUCGUGAAGGAAGGAAGAAACAAUGGGAGAGAAGCAGGGUAUUAAAGAAGACACUCGACAGGGAUCCCAGGCCCGACCAGGAUGCCACGGUUACAUGUGCUUGUUGGGGUCAAAGGCUGAAGGCUGGUGAGUGGUGACCUAAGUGAGAGGCCUGGGUGACAUCUGACCUCUAACUGGGUGUGCUUCUGACCCUAGAGGAUACUGCUCAACAAUAGGAGGCACGUGCCUUGGCCUUGUCACCAUGGUAACACAGGACCUUUUGGAAUGGUAGGGGGGUGGGGGUCAAAGCUCUGUCUUUAUCCUGAUCUGUGUUAACCGUCUGUUGCCAAUUGACUCUUAUGGAUAUAACACGUGCCCACCACAGACGGUGUGUGUGUGGAGGUUUUUUAUGUGUGUGUGUGGAGUCUAAGGGCUGACUGGGUAAUCUCUGCAGGCAACUGUGAUGGUGUUUUAUAUUCUCACAUUCACCUGGAGAGAUUCUGUAGUUUGUCUUAAAUGCUUUAAAAACACUUGACCCCUCUAAACUGUGUCUAUAUUUAGAUUUAAUUAUCUUUAUCAAACGCCCGAGAGCCUGUGAAGACCGUGACAUUUAUCUUAGCAUUAAAUUGUAUUUGUUGUUCAGAUUUUUUUUUUCUGCAGCAUGUUGAGGGUAAAAAAACAUCUGCCUUCCUUAAAAUGGUGAUCAAAGAGGAUUUCACACCGUUGCUAAAGGUAACGUUCAUUGCUCAAGAGAAGAAAUGUUGCCAUGUGCCAUGCCGCUCACCAGAUUAAUCUUUUCAUGCCUCUGUUACAAGUCAAAACUGUUAGUGAUUCUUUAAAAGAGGAGAACAAGGGGAAGACAAUGAAAUACGGUCCUGAAUAAGGGCCAACAGGUGCAGUCCACCUGGAGGAAAGCAUGUUUCACACCUCAUGCUCUGCCUCUUUGAUGCUGGGCAAGCUGCACUCUUAACCACAGAAAACCACCACCAACCCGAUCCUGCAGACAUCCAGCCACACCCACUCCACUCUACUAUGAAAAAUAUAUCUCUUCAUAUUCUGUUUAAUAUAAAAUCUGUCACAUCUGCAUUUUUCUCCUCAUUACUACCAAUCCUCCUGUCUCUCUCCUGAGUCCUUACCCCACUCAUCCCCCUCCACCUCUGAUUUUUCUGUCUCAUCCCCUUCUACUUGUGUUCUGCUGUGUUUUGGUGAAAUCUCAGCUGGCAACUGUGAGUCGUUCACUAGCUGCUCUCACAAUGGCCUCUGGGAUUAUGCUAAACACAGCGCCUCGGCUGCUCUCCCCAUCGACCGGCGUCAGCGACGCCCUUUGGAGCUCACAGGAAAGAGAUGGAGGGCUCUCAAUGAAGAUGUCACUGCAAUUACACAUGUGCAUUUCACAGACACCCUCUCUGUCUGCUCUUCCUCCUCUCGCAUACCCCGUCCCCACUUUUAAAAAAUUUCUUUUCGACAGUCUUUUGAAGUGCAGCCUCAUCUCUUGCAGCUCCUUCAUAAUGCAUGCCCAUUUUGAAUUUGCAUGAAUUCACGUUCCAGAUGCUUCUGCUGCCAUCUUGACUUACAAUGAUGUGUACUGUACAGUAUUGACCAUUGUGUUAUCGAGGGAUGAAAAGAAUAAUAACCGCUUGUUUUUAUGAGUUUGGGUUAUUUUUGUAUCACAGCUCCCACUCUAAGGGCCUAUUUUAUAGAGACCUAAUAUGCUGUAAACUGUUCAGCCUUUUUUGCCCCUGGACUGAUGUUGGGGUGAAGGAAGAGCUUUCUGAUGUGGAUGAUACUGCAUCAGGAACUGAUUGGCUGCUACUCAAUAGCCAACAGUACCUGAUGCAUUGCCUUCAGCAUCGAAAGAAACGUCACAAAGUACCGACUCCUUCUGUGUUCUGAAAAACACCUCGCUUGUGUAUGGGCCUUUUUCUUUUAGGCCACAUCUAUGACCUCCUCUCUGUGAUUUGCAAGAACUGUCUGUUUGGUUUCCAGUAAAUAUUUUCUCCUCCUCUAUAAUGAGUCUUAUAUAAAAUCUUAUAUUAAUCUUGAUAAACUGUUUCAAAAUGUCUUUGAUUGAUCUAGUGCUUUAUCAAUAGUGCUUCCCUUUUUUUUAACUGAAAAGUAGCUUACCAAGUUAAAUAAAGUUUCUGUGAAAAGUC